rnacentral:misc_RNA from 1 species
UUUUUGUCCAAUCAUCAUCAUGUAACUAGUCACCUAUACAAUUCUUAUGGAGUCUGGACAAUAAAAUUAAGAUGGUAAGAAGAUGCAUGAAGAUUUUAAAAUUCUGGAGAAAAGCUGCAGAAACUAUGAUUAGUCUCUGAGAUUUAGCUGGAAAGAAAACUCUCGCAUCCUUAAAUCUAUUUAAUCUCAGCAAAAAUUUACACUUCUCGGAGAAAUAGGGAACAAAACCGAAAACCCGACAAAGGAAAACGAGAAAAACUGAGAGGAGAGCUCUCUGGAAUCUGAAAAGCACUCUCCACCCUCUUCAGAGAGAGGACCAAAAAAAAAAAAAAAGAGUAGCAGUUCAAGGGUUUUGUUCCUGAGCUUGUCGAGUCUCCUGGGUCUCUCUAUUUUCUUCUUCUCGCUCUUGUUCUGAUGCUAUUGAUGCUGUAAUUGUUUGAACAUGGUUACCAAUUUCCCCUUUCGUUUUAUCACCAUUUUCUGGCUUCACUUCCUCUUUGUUGUCAAUCUUGGAAUUUUUGUCGUCGAAAGCGGAAGCUCUGCUAGACACAGGGGUGGCCAAGAACGUUGGUUUCUGAUCACCAGCCAUUAUCACUAAAAUCUUCUCCUCAUAAAUCUUUUCUGCCUUGCCUGCAUGUCCCUCUUUUUCAUUACCACUUUCAAGAUCUCUCUGGUCACCAUCUUCAUUAUCUUCUAAACGACCAGAUAGUCUCCAGUAAGAGCAAGCUAAGAUAAACAAGGCAAACGCAAUCAAGCCCAGCAUCGCUGCCAAACCUCCAAAGAGGUAAGGCACCGGAGAGUGCCAUGGCGAGCGCUGUUGCGUGAUAGCUGGAGGUGGAACUGAGGUAAUUGUUGUUGCGGUGGAGGUAAGGGUUCUAGUUGGUCUCAUUUUGUUCUGAAUCUUGAGGAAGGAGAUGGCUGGUGAGGGUAAGAGAAAAGAAGGCGUAGAACCUGAGUAAGAGGGAGGGAAGCGGUGGUAUUUAUAAGCGGAGAGAAAGAGAGGAUGGUGGAG